GUCCUACGCGUCAUGCAUUUAGUCAUGCAUAUUAACCAAUGACUUAAAUUCUGCCAAGUCACUGGUUUUCCUGGCUAGCACAGGCAACCCAUUCCAUGCUCUAAUAGCACUAGGGAAGAAGGAGUAUUUGUACAAAUUUGUCCUAGCAUAUGGGACGAGGAAUGUGCCUUUAUCUUUGUGUCUUUCAGAGUUUCUAUCAAAGCACAGAGCAGGAUGGGCCACUGUCCUGUUGGCUUGUAUUUCGCCCGGCUCAGGACAGACCUUGAUCCACAGUGCCAUGCUGUGGGAAGAGGAAACUGUCUUAUAAUAUUCUUUUCGACUGCCCCAGAAUUGCUGAACUCUUCAACAGGUCGGAAAACCAGUUUUUUUUUUUAUCUGCAUGGUGACAUACAUGCAUUAUGCAUAACAGCAGGAUUUCUCUCCAGAACUUUUGCCAUAGAGGAUUUGAACCUCUCAAGCUCUCAUUCAAAUGGAGUUUUAUGAUAGCAUUAGUCAUUUGGUUUGUACAAAGAUAUUUACAACAUGCAACAAAGAUAAUGAACUUUUCCAUUGAACAAAAAAUAUGGAUAAAAUAUUGAUGGAUGAGAGAGUUUACACAUAAAAAAAGCAGUGCUGUCAUUCUAUACAUCCCCUGGUGAG